rnacentral:rRNA from 1 species
CCCUUAGAUGUUCUGGGCCGCACACGCGCUACACUGGCAGGUUCAUCGAGCUUCAUGCCCUGAUCUGAGAAGAACGGGAAAUCUUUGAACACCUGCCGUGCUUGGGAUAGAUGUUUGCAAUUAUUCAUCUUCAACGAGGAUUGCCUUGUAAGCGCACGUCAUCAGCGUGCAUUGAAUACGACCCUGUAUUCUGUACACACCGCCCGUCGCUCCUACCGAUUGAAGUUUUCGGUGAAUUUACUGGAGAUCCCUUUUGAAGGUGGUUCGCCACUGGAAGAAGUAUUCAAAAGUAAAUGAAUCGAAUGCUUUAGAGGAAGGAGAAGUCGUAGCA